rnacentral:sRNA from 1 species
GCCAAGCACGGUGGCGCAGGCCUGUGAUCCCAGCAGCUCAGGAGGCUGAGGCAGGAGGAUCACAAGUUCAAGCUCAGCCUCAACAACUUAGUGAGCCCCUGUCUCAA